UAUACUAUUAAAGCAACUUAUAUCAAAGCAACAUAUAAUGUAAUAGUAGCAUCUUAGAAUUAAAUUUAAUUAAAAAUGAUCCCACUGUUUCACAAAAAGAAGAAUAUAUAUUAGCUGUCAAAAUCAUUGGAAUAAUUCUAGGUCUUCAUUAAUACUUGAAUUAGUUUGCUCCAUGUUCUCAUUCAAGCAGGCUGUAAAAGAGAACAAAGUAGUUGUGAGAAGUUGAAUUAGUUAGAUACCAUAAGUCUUUGACUAGCCCUUUUAAAAAAACAGUAUAAUUGGCAUUUGAAAAUAAAUAAAAGUCAAAUAAUUCUAUGGCGAACUUGUAUAGAACAAACUUGAUAAUUCUUGCAAAACACAUGUAAACUUAAAAAUGAUUUAUCUUAUCUCUCUUUUUUUUUCGCAAAAUGUUACGUACAAAUCAUUUUCUGCUAAUUUUUUCGUGAAUUACUUUUUUUGAUUGGGCUUUAGAGUAAAAAACAUUUGUGAAUCUUGUGCGACUGGAAUGAAAUAAAACAUUUUUUUUCGGAAUAUAGUUUAUUCAAAGGAAUUUGUUGAUCUAUAGUAAACUUGUGAUAUGUUUGUGUUUAAUUGAGUGUUAUUUAUAGUAAAUUAAAGUGAGCUAAAUGAAAUAUGUUCUAUCAAUUAGAUUCAUUAAUUAUGAAAUAUCAAGAGUUAUCAUAAUUAUAUUAAUUAUUAAUUAAAUAUAUUGUAUUUUACUAGAAAAUUUGUGUAAAAAAACAUUUUAAACUACUGAAUUAGUAAAGUUGGACUACUGAGUUAACUUAGGACCAACCAAAACGAUUCGGUGUUUGUUAGAUGGAGGGACUAACAAUGUAUCAAAUGCAACUUUUUUGUUAUAGAGAAGGGAGAAAUUAAAGUGCAUUUGCACUAUUAAAUUAAUAGAAAGAUAAUUGUGCAGCUGGAAAGAUUUGAACCCAAGACCUUGCACACCCAAAAUUCUAAUACUAUGUUAUAACUCAUCUAAAAACUUAAAUUGUUAGAUGGAGAGACUAACAAUAUAUAUCAUUCUAACAAUUAUAUAUGUUCAAAAGUAAGAGCAAUGAUGAUAAAGCGUAGAGCUAAAAAACAAUUUCCAUUAAAAUAAUUUGGUGGUUUCAAUUCAACGUACCAAUAGGCAAUAGUCAAGGAUGUAGGUACAAGAAAACCGAAUCAAAAGUGUUCCAAAUGUUACAUUAAUCCUAGUGAGAAUAAAUUUGGUAUAAAAUAAUUCAGACACCAAACACCAUCCAUUAAUUCCAAAAUAGAGAAUAACACGUGAGAUGCAAAUGCAAAUGCAAAUGUCACGUAAAGGUAGAAUUAGGGGUGCUCAUGGAUAAAAAACUAAAUUGGUAUCAAAAAUAUCGAACCGGUACCGAUCUAAAAUUACUAAAAAAAAUAAGAAUUGGAACCGGUACCGAAUUAUCAGUUCGGUACAAAAUUGAUACCGAUUUUUUCGGUUUAUACCGCAUGAUAAUAUAUAUAAUUAUUAAUAAUAAUUAAAUAAAUUUUUUAUAUAUUAACAAUUUUUUUAAAACUAAAAAAUCGUUAACUAUUAAUAAUAAUUAAUAUAUAAAAUAAAACUACAAAACAUUAUUAAUAUAUAUAUAUUUUUUAAAAUAAAACUACUAUUAUAUAGAAAUUAUUAAUAUAUAUAAAAAAAUUAUUUAAUAUAUAAAACUACAAAACAUUAACUAUUAAUUAUUAUAUUAUUAAAUUUCGGUAUUUUCGAAAUUUCAAAUUUUACCGAAUUCAAAAAAAUCAUUACUGGUACCAGUAGUGGCGAAGCCAGGAAUUUUUGUCAGUGGGGUCGAAAUUAUUACUAGUUACAAAUAAUUUGGCGAGGGUUCGGGGGCCGCGUCCCAGAGACAAUUUUUUUUUUAUACUUUAUACUUUAUACUUUCGAGUAUAUAUAUAUAUAUACUAUAUUACAAUAAAAAUAUAAUGAGUAAUAAUAUAUGGUAUAUAUACACUAUAUUGACUCAUACUAGACUUUUUUAAUCACAACUAUUCAUAAGUAAGUAAUUCAUUAUUUAUUUUUAAAAAUAAUAUAAAUUAGAUUAUUAUUUAGUUUAAAAUAUUAUAGAGAAAUACAUAUAUUAAGAGGAUGAGUCAUAUGUGAUUAAAAUUUAAUUGACAAAAUUAUAAAUUUUCAAUUUGCCCCCAUAUAAUAGAAAAUUUAUAAAAUUUUAGUGGGGUCAAUUUAUAUAUAAUACUUAAAAAUUUUAAAAUUUACCUUACCUUAUAAAACAAAAUUUUUUUUCAGUGGGGGCGAUUGACCUCAUAGAAGUCUAUGUCGCUUCGCCACUGGGUACCAAUAUCGAAAAGUAUUAAAAUAUAAAAAAAUCGAUACCAAAAAAACCGAUACCAUCGAUACCAAUAUCAACCGAUUCGAUAAAAAACCGAGAAAACCCAAAAAUUUAGAGCAGCCCCAGGUAGAACCUACUUAUUAUUGGGAAGGUAGAACCAACUUCUUAUUGGGAAGGUGUUUGGAGCGUAGAGACUAUUAUUAACAAAUAACAAAUGCACCCACCUAGCUCCCACUACCACUAGGCACUAGGACUCCUAUUUUAUAAGCCACUUGGUCUCCUUCAAUAUUUCUUCUCCCAACAAACCCCAUAACUCUGAUCUCCCUAAGCUAAGCUAAUUCUCCGUACGUGUGAUCACCGGCAGCAUCACCAUCACCAUCACCAUCACCAUCACCAUAACCAUGGUUCUAUCCAAAACUACGUCGGAGUCCGAUGUCUCCGUCCACUCAACGUUCGCUUCCCGAUACGUUCGGACCAGCCUUCCCAGGUGAUCAUCGGUUGAUCUAUCUAGCUAUAUAUAAGAUCACUCGUCUUUGUAAUGUCUUUUUUUUUUUAAUUUAUAAUUUAUUGGAGUAUAUAUAUAUGUAUGUAUAUGUUUCUUGAUCAGGUUUAAGAUGGGUGAGAAUUCGAUACCAAAAGAAGCGGCGUACCAGAUAAUAAACGACGAGCU
rnacentral:lncRNA from 1 species